GACGAACGCUGGCGGCGCGCUUGACACAUGCAAGUCGAACGGAAAGGCCUGCUUUCCCUUGUGGAUUGCGGGUACUCGAGUGGCGAACGGGUGAGUAACACGUGAGUGAUCUGCCCCCAACUUGGGUAUAAGCCUGGGAAACUGGGUCUAAUUCCCGAUAGGACUGCAGGGUGGUGCCUGUGGUGGAAAACGAUUUUCUAGUGGUUGGGGAUGAGCUCGCGGCCUAUCAGCUUGUUGGUGGGGUAAUGGCCUACCAAGGCGGCGACGGGUAGCCGGCCUGAGAGGGUGGACGGCCACAUUGGGACUGAGAUACGGCCCAGACUCCUACGGGAGGCAGCAGUGGGGAAGAUUGCACAAUGGGCGGAAGCCUGAUGCAGCGACGCCGCGUGGGGGAUGACGGCCUUCGGGUUGUAAACUCCUUUCGACCGCGAGGAAGCCACCUGGUUGGAAGGGUGGUGACGGUAGUGGUAGAAGAAGCACCGGCUAACUACGUG
rnacentral:rRNA from 1 species